UUAGAAGGCGUCUCCUUUUGACAAAACCCACCCCGUGUAUCUUCUGAGGGGGCCCUGUGAUAUUCCCCUCGCGGGGCAGGAGGGCCGUUCUACGAAUCCUCGGUCGGUGGCCUGCUGGGGAGGCCGGGGCCCGCUGGGCCUCUGCCAGCCGCCUGGGACUUGCGUCCCGGGGGUGCUGGCGCCGACCGCCAGGAUCCCUGUACCAAACUAUUGAGAUUUGAAAUAUGACAAAAUCAAACCAUUACAACCUGCAACGAUGGAUCUCUUGGCUCUGGCAUCGAUGAAGAACGCAGCGAAAUGCGAUACGUAAUGUGAAUUGCAGAUCUCUCAGUGAAUCAUCGAGUUUUUGAACGCACAUAGCGCCCGCCAGCAUUCUGGCGGGCAUGGCCUGUCCGAGCGUCGAUGACGCCUGCUCGAGCGCUGCCGCUCGGUGUUGGGGCGCUAGGGGCCUCGCCCCCUAGGCCCUCUAAGAAGAAGUGCGCGGUCCACGACGGGCCCCGGGUACAGUAAUUUAUUGCUGCCCUAGGGAGCCGCCGGGCGGGCUUGGCCGUAAAACCCCCGACAUAGGCCGAGCCCUGCUGCAGGGUGACCCCGCCAUAUGUUGACCUCGGAUCCAGGUAGGACGACCCGCUGAACUUAAGCAUAUCAAUAG
rnacentral:rRNA from 1 species